AAGAAAAUCAGUAUUUUUUAAAAAUUAUUUUACGCAACGAAAUUUCGAAAUAAAAACAGAUUAUAGUAGUGGGAAAAUUCUAUAUAUAAUAAAAAGUGUUACAAUUGGUAAUUGUUUCAUCAUAAAAUUUGUUUAUUAUUAAAAGUUCCAAUUUUUUACAAAAACAAUAUUUUCCUCAACGGGAGUAGACUUGGUGAAACCAGGGAAAUCGACAAAAGACUGACGAGAGGGAAAAAAUCGUUUGGAGCCCUUGGAGGACUAUUAAGAUAUUUCUAAAGCUACAUUUACAUUUAUGAAACUAACUAUACUAUAUGAUAGUGAGUGUUGGAUCAUGAACAAAAAAAGAAGAAAACAUAUGGGAAAGAAAAGGUAUUAAAGAGGAUUUUCGUAGGAAUGCAAGAGCAAAACGAGUGGAGAAAAAGAACGAACGCUGAGAUCAAAGUACUGUAUGGUCAAGAUGAGAUGGGAUAUGGGGUCAGAGCAAAGACUCCUUUGGAUGGAGCAUAUAGCCAAAAUGGAUGAAGACAGUUGGGUCAGAAGAUCCUUGUGAAGUGAAGUGAAGAAAGAGCAAAAAGGAAAAGAGGGCGUCCACGAAAAAAUGGAUAGAAGCAUGUAGAUAUUUAGAAAGAAGAGGAAUAGAGAACUGGCGUGAAGCAGGCAUGAGCAAAAAUAGGAGGAAAGCAGUAGAGCGACUCCAAGACUUGUGCCUAUAAGGUCUGUGUUGAGCUUCAAAUAACUUAUUUGGAAUCUACUGCUUUAAAUUUCAAUGUAAAUUACUAUAGUCUGGUUAUUAACGUCUUUAGGCCGCUUCCUAUUAUGCAAGACAACAUGCAAGAAAUUGCAUGCAAUGGAGUCUGAAGGACAGAAAACAGCAUCUAAGCAAUGGUGAGCCAGGCUCUGGCUAGAUAGAACCCAGAGAAAGAAACAUGGGUUUAUCUAUGAAAGUAAGACGACAAAAUAUUCAAACAUUGGAAAAGCUCCUUAGGAAAAUAGAACAUAAAUUAAUUGAGAAAUCCUUAGCGAGAGACGUAAUAUCAGCGAAUCAUAAACUCAAUUCUUUGUAGAAUUGCAACUUGAACGAAAUAAAACUGACACCAAACCAAUAAUGUUACAAAUGCGAAAUUUUGCAUGAAACAAACAGUUAAAUUUCAUCUGCGCAUGCUUUUCAUUAAAAAAUAUUGCUUCUUGCAUUGCAUUGCACGUUGUAUUCUAUCUUGUCAAGCAAACUAAAGUGGAAUGAACCUUUAAAAAUUUGAACCAACUAUUUUUCGAAUAUAUCUACAACAUAAGUAUUAAAAAAUACUCACAGAUACUUUUUUACCCUGUCUCACUGGUGCUAAAUCGAAACAUAACAUUUUUUUUAUAUUAACCAAAAA